CUCUAUUUUGUUGUGAGGGUCUUGUUGUAGAUUCCAGGUGAGUUGAGGAGGGGAGUGUGGACAGGGAGUGAAAGCUGAGCAGGUGAUAGUGACAGACUCCUUCUCCUUCACAUCACCUGAGAUGUUAAUUGUGGGUCUCCAAGGAGAAUCUG